rnacentral:rRNA from 1 species
UACAGAGGUCCCAAGCGUUGUUCGGAUUCACUGGGCGUAAAGGGUGCGUAGGCGGUCGGGUAAAUCUGAUGUGAAAUCUCACAGCUUAACUGUGAAACUGCAUUGGAUACUAUCCGGCUAGAGGAAUGGAGGGGAGACUGGAAUACUUGGUGUAGCAGUGAAAUGCGUAGAUAUCAAGUGGAACACCAGUGGCGAAGGCGAGUCUCUGGACAUUUCCUGACGCUGAGGCACGAAAGCCAGGGGAGCAAACGGG